CCUCACCCUCCGCCACGCUCAGGGCGGCGGCUGCCGGCCGCCGGCGGAGGCCCGAGGCGGGGGACGCCCCGCGCCACUGCCGGGCCCCUCCGCACCCGCUGCCCCGCCGCGGGCCCACCCCCGGUACCUGCGAGUCGGCGGGAGGAAGCGGCGCCGUUCCUCCCGCCCGGGCCGGGCCCCGCGCAGGAAGCUCCUGUGUGUAUUUAAUCAUUCAUACUGUCUCAUGUCAUCCCUGAAUUCUCUGGAACUGGAGUUUAUCCUAUGGUGCCUCCGCUAAGCUGGUAUGAAACCUGAAAGCUCACUCUGGAAAAAGUUAUUGAUUACUCAGCCUGCAUUUACCGUGUGCAAAUAUUGUAAAAUGAAUAAAAUGUACCUUGCUUUUCCUGUG